rnacentral:rRNA from 1 species
UACAGAGGAGGCAAACGUUAUUCGGAAUUAUUAGGCGUAAAGGACACGUAGGCGGCCUGACAAGUGGAAGGUGAAAUCCCUCGGCUCAACUGAGGAACUGCCCUCCAACUGUUUGGUCUUGAGACGGGAGAGGUGAGUGGAAUUCCCAGUGUAGCGGUGAAAUGCGUAGAUAUUGGGAGGAACACCAGUGGCGAAGGCGGCUCACUGGACCGGUACUGACGCUGAUGCGCGAAAGCGUGGGGAGCAAACGGGG